rnacentral:rRNA from 1 species
UGGGGAAUUUUGGACAAUGGGCGCAAGCCUGAUCCAGCCAUGCCGCGUGUCUGAAGAAGGCCUUCGGGUUGUAAAGGACUUUUGUCAGGGAAGAAAAGGCUGUUGCUAAUACCGACAGUUGAUGACGGUACCUGAAGAAUAAGCACCGGCUAACUACGUGCCAGCAGCCGCGGUAAUACGUAGGGUGCGAGCGUUAAUCGGAAUUACUGGGCGUAAAGCGAGCGCAGACGGUUACUUAAGCAGGAUGUGAAAUCCCCGGGCUCAACCUGGGAACUGCGUUCUGAACUGGGUGACUAGAGUGUGUCAGAGGGAGGUAGAAUUCCACGUGUAGCAGUGAAAUGCGUAGAGAUGUGGAGGAAUACCGAUGGCGAAGGCAGCCUCCUGGGAUAACACUGACGUUCAUGCUCGAAAGCGUGGGUAGCAAACAGGAUUAGAUACCCUGGUAGUCCACGCCCUAAACGAUGUCAAUUAGCUGUUGGGCAACUUGAUUGCUUAGUAGCGUAGCUAACGCGUGAAAUUGACCGCCUGGGGAGUACGGUCGCAAAGAUUA